rnacentral:rRNA from 1 species
AUGGCUCACGAUGAACGCUGGCGGCGUGCCUAACACAUGCAAGUCGAGCGGAGAUCAGGAGGUAGCAAUACGGAAUGGAUCUUAGCGGCGGACGGGUGAGUAACACGUGAGUAACCUGCCUUCUACAGGGGAAUAACACCGUGAAAACGGUGCUAAUACCGCAUAACAUCACACUGUGGCAUCACAGAGUGAUCAAAGGAGCAAUCCGGUAGAAGAUGGACUCGCGUCCGAUUAGCUAGUUGGCGGGGUAACGGCCCACCAAGGCGACGAUCGGUAGCCGAACUGAGAGGUUGAUCGGCCACAUUGGGACUGAGACACGGCCCAGACUCCUACGGGAGGCAGCAGUGGGGAAUAUUGGGCAAUGGGGCCGAAAGCCUGACCCAGCAACGCCGCGUGAAGGAAGAAGGCCUUCGGGUUGUAAACUUCUUUGAACAGGGACGAAACAAAUGACGGUACCUGAAAAACAAGCCACGGCUAACUACGUGCCAGCCGCCGC